rnacentral:lncRNA from 1 species
UAAUAUGAGGCACUCAAAGGCUAGAAAUGUAAUUGAGAGAUAUUUCGGCCAACUAAAGCUAAGAUGGCAAUCCUAAGGAGCCACACUUAGUAUUUUAUUAAGAUAAUGUGUAGGCUCAUUUCUGUACGUUGCUUGCUGCACAACUCUUAUUAAAAUAAUGUGUAGGUUCAUAUCUGUACGUUGCUUGCUGUACAACUCUUAUUAAAAUAAUGUGUAGGUUCAUAUCUGUACGUUGCUUGCUGCACAACUACAUUAGAAGAG